UUCAUUCUCUUUUCUGUGUACACACCCAACAACUAUUUAUGGUGCAGACUGUGGUAAAUAGUCAGCAGAGAUGAGACAGCUGGCCUGCCCAGCCUCCUGGAGCUGUCAGGACCCAAGGCAGCGAGAUGCAAAGACAUCUGCUGAGAUCUGACCAUCGCCACAUGGGAUGGAGUCAUCGUGGUGUCCUCCUGAGACCGUGGGGAAGGCUCUCAGGUCCCCACUGCCCUGAACCUUGUGACUCAGAGCUGGUGGUUUGUGGCGUUCCUCAGUUGCAGACAUAGAGAGAAGUUGCAAGAACAGUGAUACACAGAGUUACCAUUUGCUUUUCACGCAGACCACUCAACCCUGGAGCUGACGUGUCAUCAUAGCUGCAGGAACAGCUCCUCAGUCUUUGGUGUUUCAUGACCCUGACAUAUUUGAAAUGGAUGGACAACUCUUCUACAAAAGAUUCCUCAAGCUGGAUUUGUCUGCUGUAGCCUCACAGAAGGACUCGGGUCAUUUCCCUCUGGCGGGAAUAUCACCAAAGGGCCCUCCUGUGUCCUCUGUGCUUUUGGCGUCUCACUACCAGCGACGUUCACUCUGUUCACUUGUUAAGCUGUUCUCUGCCAGGUUUGUUCACUGCAAACAACAACAACGACAGCUAUAACAACAAUAACAACAAGGGCAACAACAACAAUGACAACAGCAACAAUAAAGGGGGAAAAUCGGCCUCCGGGAGCAGUGGAUUCAUAGUGCAGGCACAAGCCCCAGCAGUAACCCUGGAGGCAAAAAGGAAGAAAAAGAGAGAGAGACUGAGCCCUGAUGAUGUGUGAGCUUCUGGACCCAGCUACCAGGUUCCAGAUGCUACCAUAAUGCCAACCAGACUUCCCUGGGCAGAUGACCCCACCAAUGAGUCCUGGACCCCCUGCUUCCCCAGCGCCCUGCCCCACUAGGGAAAGAAAGAGACAGGCUAGGAGUGUGGAACGACCUGUCAAUGCCCAUGUUCAGCAGGGAAGCAAUUCCAGAAGCCAGACCUUCCACCUUCUGCACUCCAUAAAGACCCUGGGUCCAUACUCCCAGAUGGUUAAAGAAAAGGAAAGCUAUCAAGGGAGGGAAUAGGAUACAGAGUUCUGGUGGUGGGAAUUGUGUGGAAUUAUAACCCUUUUAUCCUAAGGUUUUGUCAGUAUUUCCUUUCUAUAAAUAAAAGUUA